rnacentral:rRNA from 1 species
GACGAACGCUGGCGGCGUGCCUAAUACAUGCAAGUAGAACGCAGUUGCGAACGGGUGAGUAACGCGUAGGUAACUGCCUCAUAGCGGGGGAUAACUAUUGGAAACGAUAGCUAAUACCGCAUACUGUGAGAUGGACCUGCGUUGUAUUAGCUAGUUGGUGAGGUAAAGGCUCACCAAGGCGACGAUACAUAGCCGGCCUGAGAGGGUGAGCGGCCACACCGGGACAGGGACCCGGCCCCGACUCCGACGGGAGGCAGGAGUAGGGGAUCUUUGGAAAGGGAGGGAAGGCUGACUGAGCAACGCCGCGGUAGUGAAGAAGGUUUUCGGAUCGUAAAGCGCUUUUGUUAGAGAAGCGGUAACUAAACAGAAAGGGACGGCUAACUACGUGCCAGCAGCCGCGGUAAUUC